UGAGUAUUUGAGCUUACUGCUGUGCACC
rnacentral:piRNA from 1 species